GGCGGGUAUGGCGCGGUUACGUAUCCCUGCGGGUCGUGGCCGCGAAAACGUGGUUCGACCUCUUGAUCCGCUUC
rnacentral:tRNA from 1 species